rnacentral:misc_RNA from 1 species
UCCGGUUUGUCACCGGCGGUCUCCCUAGAGUUCCCACCAUUACGUGCUGGCAACUAGGGACAAGGGUUGCGCUCGUUGCGGGACUUAACCCAACAUCUCACGACACGAGCUGACGACAGCCAUGCAGCACCUGUCUCACGGUUCCCGAAGGCACUCCUCUAUCUCUAAAGGAUUCCGUGGAUGUCAAGGCCAGGUAAGGUUCUUCGCGUUGCAUCGAAUUAAACCACAUACUCCACCGCUUGUGCGGGCCCCCGUCAAUUCCUUUGAGUUUCAGUCUUGCGACCGUACUCCCCAGGCGGCGAACUUAACGCGUUAGCUUCGAUACUGAGCUCCAAGUUGAGCCCAACAUCCAGUUCGCAUCGUUUAGGGCGUGGACUAC